UACGGGGGGGGUAAGCGUUGUUCGGAAUUACUGGGCGUAAAGGGCUCGUAGGCGGCCAACUAAGUCAUACGUGAAAUCCCUCAGCUUAACUGGGGAACUGCGUGUGAUACUGGAUGGCUUGGAUUUGGGAGAGGGAUGCGGAAUUCCAGGUGUAGCGGUGAAAUGCGUAGAUAUCUGGAGGAACACCGGUGGUGUAGACGGCUUUCUGGACCGUAACUGACGCUGAGACACGAAAGCGUGGGUAGCAAACAGG
rnacentral:rRNA from 1 species